CCCUUAGAUGUUCUGGGCCGCACGCGUGCUACACUGACCGGCGCAACAAGUUUCUUUCCUUGGCUCGAUAGGCCUGGGUAAUCUUUGAACGCCGGUCGUGAUGGGGAUAGAUCCUUGCAAUUUUUGAUCUUCAACGAGGAAUUCCUAGUAAAUGCGAGUCAUCAUCUCGCGUUGAUUACGUCCCUGCCCUUUGUACACACCGCCCGUCACACCUACCGAUUGAAUGGUCCGGUGAAGCCUCGGGAUUGCGAAUGCUUCGUGCGGACGCGAGAACUUGGCUAAACCUUACCAUUUAGAGGAAGGUGAANUCGUAACA
rnacentral:rRNA from 1 species